CUCUUGAGGCAAGCCAGAAGCGGUAUUGGUCAAGGCUAUACCGACAGCGCACCUUCAAAAGGGCGCUUAAUCCCCGGCCAAGCGCCGAAAUAUGAAUAGACACCGCUGGGCUGGUAGGGCUUCCGAACGUCCUGCGGUGUC
rnacentral:ncRNA from 12 species